GCUGGAAUAGCGCAGUCAGUAGAGCAUGAGACUCCUAAUCUCAGGGUUGUGAGUUCAAGCCCCAUGUGGGGUA